AUUGAACGCUGGCGGCAGGCCUAACACAUGCAAGUCGAACGAGUGGCGGACGGGUGAGUAAUGUCUGGGAAACUGCCUGAUGGAGGGGGAUAACUACUGGAAACGGUAGCUAAUACCGCAUACCAUCGGAUGUGCCCAGAUGGGAUUAGCUAGUAGGUGGGGUAACGGCUCACCUAGGCGACGAUCCCUAGCUGGUCUGAGAGGCUGACCGGCCACACUGGAACUGAGACACGGUCCAGACUCCUACGGGAGGCAGCAGUGGGGAAUAUUGCACAAUGGGCGAAAGUCUGAUGGAGCCAUGCCGCGUGUGUGAAGAAGGCCUUCGGGUUGUAAAGCACUUUCAGCGGGGAGGCGGUACCCGAAGAAGAAGCACCGGCUAACUCCGUGCCAGCAGCCGCGGUAAUAC
rnacentral:rRNA from 1 species